rnacentral:rRNA from 1 species
GACGAACGCUGGCGGCGUGCUUAACACAUGCAAGUCGAACGGAAAGGCCUGCUUUCCCUUGUGGGUUGCGGGUGCUCGAGUGGCGAACGGGUGAGUAACACGUGAGUGAUCUUCCGCCAACUUGUGUAUAAGCCUGGGAAACUGGGGCUAAUUCCCGCUAGGACUGCAGGGGGGUGCCGGUGGUGGCAGACGAUUUGCUAGGGGUCGGGGAUGAGCUCGCGGCCUAUCAGCUUGUGGGUGGGCUAAGGGCCUACCAAGGCGGCGACGGGAAGCCGGCCUGGGAGGGUGGACGGGCGCAUGUGGACUGACAUACUGCCCCGGCUAUUACGGGAGGCAGCAGUGGGGAAGAAUGCGCAAUGGGCGGAAGACUGAUGCAGCGAGGCUGCGUGGGGGAUGACGGGCUUCGGGUUGUGAACUCCUUGCGAUCGAGAGGAUGCCACUUGGUUGGAGGGGUGGUGACGGUAGUGGUAGAAGAAGCACCGGCUAACUACGUG